rnacentral:rRNA from 1 species
GACGAACGCUGGCGGCGUGCUUAACACAUGCAAGUCGAACGGAAAGGCCCAGCUUGCUGGGUGCUCGCGUGGCGAACGGGUGAGUAACACGCGGGUGUUAUCCCUCUAACUUCGGGAUAAGCUUGGGAAACUGGGUCUAAUACCGGAUAGGACAAUCGUUUAGUGUCGGUUGUGGAAAGUUUUUUCGGUUAGGGAUGAGCCCGCGGCCUAUCAGCUUGUUGGUGGGGUAAUGGCCUACCAAGGCGUCGACGGGUAGCCGGCCUGAGAGGGUGGACGGCCACAUUGGGACUGAGAUACGGCCCAGACUCCUACGGGAGGCAGCAGUGGGGAAUAUUGCACAAUGGGCGCAAGCCUGAUGCAGCGACGCCGCGUGGGGGAUGACGGCCUUCGGGUUGUAAACCUCUUUCGACAGGGACGAAGCGUUGGUGACGGUACCUGUAUAAGAAGCACCGGCUAACUACGUG